CUGAAAUCUUCUUCUUUUUUUCUAUUCUUUCUCCAAAAUCCGGCCAUGGGGGUCCGGCGAGCCUCCGCCGUGGCCGAAAAAUAAUUUGCUUUCUCAGUCCUUUUUCUUUCUCUUUAAAAAAAAAAUUAAAACUCUAAAUCUAAGCCAAGUUUUCUUGAAAUCAAAAAAAGAAAAAAGAAAACGGAAAGGGUGACUUUCGGCCUCGCGGCGACAGGGUCGUUGGUGGCAGAGGCGGAGUAGGUGGCGCUGACGUCGGCGGUGGUAGGCUAGGGAUAGGGUGCAGCGCCAGGCUAAGGAUUUUAGGGUUUCUGUUUCUGGGCUAGGGUUGAUUUGGGCCUGCUUUUUUUGUAAUUGGGCUGUUUAUUGGAUUUGGGUUUUAUUUAUUUAGGCUUUAUUUAUUUGUUUAAUGGGCCGGGCAAAUUGGUCUGCUACAGUGAUCAUUUUUGUCAUUGAGAGUAUAGAGCUCGUUUGAAGAAUCUGUGAAACGUAAUUUCGAGAGAGUGAGAAUGUUAUAGGUAAGAUAGAUAAUGUGGUCGUGGGGGUUGGUUAAGAGGUUGAGGGAAAGAGCUCGAAAAACUUUAUUGAGGGUGGACUGCCAUAAGUCACAACUGGUGAGGUCUUCGAGUAAGGUGAAUUUGUGGACUAGGGCAUUAAGGCAUCCAAAUUGGUUCGAAAAAGUGAUGAUGAUUGAUGAAUGUUUGUAGUUGUGAGGUGAGAAAAGGUGAAGCAAGUUUUAUUUUAGUUUCAA